UUAAGCCAAUCAGAAUUGACACCUCUGCUACGUUGGUGGCGCACGCAGGAAGAAGCGCGCGACAUGAUGAAGACGGCGGCGCGCUGGUGAACUACUCUGCUGUUUUCGACGAAGCAACACUUGUGAGAGUUUUUUGAUUCAAUACCAGGAAUUGGAACAAUAGCUAUCUGGAACUUCUGGAACUGAGAUCAGUCAGAAGCCUUCAAGCUCAAACAUUAAGGAGUUCUCCCCUCACAGCUGAAAACUUGAUGAUUGCUGUGGACCAGACCAUCGUGAAAGAUGGGGUUACAAAUUGUGGUGAUGCCCUUCUGAUGAUGUUCGUAUCCUACUACUGCCUCAACAUCAGUUAUCCACUGGAACUUGGAGCAACUCUGGAGUUCAUGCAGAGAUGCCUUUUCAGGAUAAAUCCAGAUAGGGGGACCAAAGUGGAGAAGCAGCAAUCUAAAAAACAGCAGUCCGUAAAUCCUAAGGUUCUUUCUUUGAUAACAAAAAUUGCAGACUUUGAAUGGCGAGAGUAGACAUCUCACAUGCCAGCUUCUUUCUGUUUCAUACAUUUCCAUUUAGUUCAUAUACUGUUCUGUAAUGUGUAAAGCGUUCAUUCUGCUUGUAUUUUGUGGCUCACUGUUAUCUUGAGUGAGUGCAGCGUUUUAACGUGUGUUUACACGUUUUAAAUUGUGUACAUUUCAAAGUAAAGAGUUAAAAAAAGCUCCCAGUAAAGACCGGUAAUUUUAACCAGUGGGGAGAACCAGUUUCAUAAAACGUGUGUGUGUGUGUGUGUGUGUGUGUG